GGAUUGUGGCUCAGCGGUAGAGUGCUCCCCUAGCAUGGGCGGGACCCGAGUUCAAUCCUCAGCACCA
rnacentral:tRNA from 1 species